UGACUGCCACUGAUCAACUUAAAAGAAGCCCAAAAGAAAAAAAAACUACCCAAUUUUAUAAAUUUAAAAAAAAAGCCCAAACAAUUCAUUACAAACAAAACAUCUUGAAAACCGUAGCUUUAUUAACGCGUCAUGUUGAUUAAUGGUUGUAAUAUUUCACACCUUUACUGUCAUGUUGAUUAAUGGCUGUAAUGUUCCAGUCUAAGAUAAUAACACUGCUAGUUUCCUAUGACAUCCUAUUUCUAAUGCAUGUCUACC
rnacentral:lncRNA from 1 species